rnacentral:rRNA from 1 species
GCAAACCUAAACUCAACUAAUUGCCCCCCCCCACUUUAGAGCAACUCAAAUGAGGUACAGCCCAUUUGAUACAGGAUACAACCUUCACUAAUGGGUAAUACUUAAUCAACAUCGUUAAGUGGGCCUAACAGCAGCCACCUUUUAAAAAGCGUCAAAGCUUAACCUCACUAUCUUAAUCUAAAAACUCCCACUGAUCCCUUUAACUGUAUUGAGAGCUUCCAUAAUCAUAUAGAACCCCUUAUGCUAAAACUAAUAACAAGAGAAAACCUCUCUCCUAAAUGCAAGCACAAGCCAGCAAGAACCCAUCACUGGCAUCUAGCGAACCCACAGGUAGUAACUCCACUAGAAAACCCUACCCCCCACUCCGUUAACCUAACACAAGAGCAUUUCAAGAAAGAUUAAAAGAAAAAAAAGGAACUCGGCAAACUUAAGCCCCGCCUGUUUACCAAAAACAUCGCCUCCCGACCCCAUGGGAGGUCCAGCCUGCCCAGUGACCCUGUUCAACGGCCGCGGUAUUCUAACCGUGCAAAGGUAGCGUAAUCACUUGUCUUAUAAAUAAGGACCAGUAUGAAAGGCGCCACGAGGGCUAAGCUGUCUCCUCUUUCUAAUCAGUGAACCU